UACGUAGGUGGCAAGCGUUUGUCCGGAAUUACUGGGCGUAAAGCGUGCGCAGGCGGUUCGUUGUGUCGGUGGUGAAAUCCCCGGGCUUAACCUGGGAAUGGCCAUGGAAACUGGCGAACUGGAGUGCGGCAGAGGGGGGUGGAAUUCCGCGUGUAGCAGUGAAAUGCGUAGAGAUGCGGAGGAACACCGAUGGCGAAGGCAGCCCCCCUGGGCUAGCACUGACGCUCAGGCACGAAAGCGUGGGGAGCAAACAGG
rnacentral:rRNA from 1 species